rnacentral:rRNA from 1 species
UACAGAGGGGGCAAGCGUUGUUCGGAAUUACUGGGCGUAAAGGGCGCGUAGGCGGCCUGUUAAGUCGAACGUGAAAUCCCCAGGCUCAACCUGGGAACUGCGUCCGAUACUGGCAGGCUUGAAUCCGGGAGAGGGAUGCGGAAUUCCAGGUGUAGCGGUGAAAUGCGUAGAUAUCUGGAGGAACACCGGUGGCGAAGGCGGCAUCCUGGGCCGGUAUUGACGCUGAGGCGCGAAAGCCAGGGGAGCAAACGGG